CUCAGCUGUGCUCCAGGAUAGAAAAUCCGGGGUUAUCACCAAGGCUGAUGCAAAGCUACAGUGAUGGAGGGACAAGUAAUUGCAAUCACAGAGGGUACUUCAUGAUCUUCUCUUGAAGCCCAGACAAUGAGCCCUGCCAAGCCCUGAGCAGGCUGCUUAAGCAGCCACUCCAGUUUGAACCUGUGUAAUUCAUGAGUGCAGUGUGGGGCCCUCACUCGUAACCUUCAGAUGUUUCCAGCAGCACCAGGGAGAUGCUUCAAAAGCUUUCUGAAUGUCAAAUAUCAGAAGUCAGUGAAUCUCAAUGUCAGGAACACCCUCUAACUUCACAACGUAGGUUUCCUUGUGUUCCUGCACAGUUUUCCUGUCUAGUAAUCGGGCACGGAGCACUGUUUCAUCUCGUGCAGUGAGGCAGGCUCCAGCACACGCUUGCACAUCACUUAUGAACCCUGGGUAAAAGCUGUUGCGCCAAGUGAAGCAUGUCAGCUCUGCCAUGGCUAACAAGUCAAGCACACUCCCACCACAGCUUCCUGGCAAACGUACCCCUACACCUACCACAGCCCUUCUGACUGCUGAGAGAAUGCUCCUGGGACAGGCUGAGCCCAGCAGUGCCUUGCCUGGGACCCGUGCCACAGCAGCCCUGCCAAGCACGGGCUUGCCGAGCCGAGGACAACCGCACAGCAGGAUUUCAGCUACAGCCGAUGUGCGGUGGCAGGAGUUGAUGAGUCGAGACGCUUUGUCUCAAGGCAGAUUAGAGAUAGAAGCUAUCACAGACAGCAGCACCGCCAGCCUUCAUAAGAGCUCCUCUCAUCUAGUUCAUCCCUGAACUCCGCGCAGCCCAGCCGGCACUGCAAAGACGCACGUGGGUUUGCGCGUUCCUGCGGGCUGUCCGAAGAAACGAAAGACGAAACAAAAGGAGCUGUCGGCGCUGCUCUGAAGGUCCCACGUGGGAGGGUUUGCGCCGAGGAAGCUCGGGAGCCGCGCUGCUCCCAGAGGAGCGAUGGUUUCAGGAUCCGGCCUUAGCACAUGGAAGUGGUGAAGGGCGCUGCGUGUGAGGUAUAAUGAGAAUUUCUCAGUUGGCUGGUGGUUAAACCAUGCUCGUUGCUGGUUCGAAGUCGUAUUGUUUUCUUUGGCCUGUUUAUUAAACUUCCUUAAACUCGGUCACUGUUGUAUCUGUUGUGCGGGACGGCUGUUGGAUAUGGGAGGAUUUGCGGUGCUGAAUGCAGCCGAGGGGGGCAGGGAGGUAACACAGCACCCUGCCAUGAGUGCACGCUUCCCUCCAUUGCUUCUGCGGGGAGAUCUGUGCCACGGCUUCCUUCCCC
ensembl:lncRNA